GAACGCACCUUGCGCCCUUUGGCUAUUCCGAAGGGCAUGCCUGUUUGAGUAUCAUGAACACCUCAACUCUCAUGGUUUGCCAUGACGAGCUUGGACUUUGGGGGUCUUGCUGGCCUAUGGUCAGCUCCUCUAAAAUGAAUCAGCUUGCCAGUGUUUGGUGGCAUCACAGGUGUGAUAACUAUCUACGCUUGUGGAUUUCCACCAGAUAACCUUCAGCGAUGAAGGUUCGCUGGGGCUCAUAAAUGACUCUCCUCAGUGGAGAUGGCUCUUUUGAAUGUUUGAUCUCAAAUCAGGUAGGACUACCCGCUGAACUUA
rnacentral:misc_RNA from 1 species